rnacentral:tRNA from 1 species
UCCGCAUUAGCUCAAGUGGUAUAGAGCACCCAGCGCGGGGCUGGGAUUACCUGGGUUCAACUCCCAGAUGCGGAACCA